AUGUUUGCUUCUUUAAAAUAUGGUUAUCGUUGUUUCGGUAAUGCUUCUGGACUAGUGCUUACCUUCUUGCUAUGUUGUUAUGCACCUGGUUGUCAUGCCCUGCUAGUUGCUAGUAUUAUUUUCAUUUGCUUAUGCUUGCUAGUAGUACAUGUUGAUGUUGUCAUUAUACUAUGCUCAGUUGGAUAUGAUUCAUUGUGGAUAUGGUGGAUAGUUAUGUUACACCCCGUGCUUAUGUUGAUAUCAUGUUUAUGCAUUGUAAUUGCCUCAUGUUAUUUUAUCAUGGCUCAGCAUAUUGCAUUCAAGUUUAACCGGAUUAAAUUGAACUUGAACAACUGUUGGCUGAGUCAUGGUGCCACCAUAUCGAGCUGA
rnacentral:rRNA from 1 species